rnacentral:rRNA from 1 species
UACGUAGGAUUCAAGCGUUGUCCGGAUUCACUGGGCGUAAAGGGUGCGCAGGCGGCCAGGUGUGUGAGGCGUGAAAGCCCGGGGCUUAACCCCGGAAUUGCACCUCAAACUACAUGGCUAGAGCAUUGGAGAGGGAAGCGGAAUUCACGGUGUAGCAGUGAAAUGCGUAGAUAUCGUGAGGAACACCAGAGGCGAAGGCGGCUUCCUGGACAAUUGCUGACGCUCAGGCACGAAAGCGUGGGGAGCAAAAGGG